UGAUGGAUGAGAUUAAUUUCCCUGUUGGUUUGAUAUGCUGACAUGAUGGCCUCAAUAAUGAAGCGGAUCAGAUCAUCC
rnacentral:snoRNA from 2 species